rnacentral:rRNA from 1 species
AAAUUGAAGAGUUUGAUCAUGGCUCAGAUUGAACGCUGGCGGCAGGCCUAACACAUGCAAGUCGAACGGUAACAGGAAGCAGCUUGCUGUUUCGCUGACGAGUGGCGGACGGGUGAGUAAUGUCUGGGAAACUGCCUGAUGGAGGGGGAUAACUACUGGAAACGGUAGCUAAUACCGCAUAACGUCGCAAGACCAAAGAGGGGGACCUUCGGGCCUCUUGCCAUCGGAUGUGCCCAGAUGGGAUUAGCUAGUAGGUGGGGUAACGGCUCAC